rnacentral:rRNA from 1 species
CCUACGGGAGGCAGCAGUGGGGGAUAUUGCACAAUGGGGGGAACCCUGAUGCAGCGACGCCGCGUGGGUGAAGAAGCGCCUCGGCGCGUAAAGCCCUGUCAGCAGGGAAGAAAAUGACGGUACCUGAAGAAGAAGCCCCGGCUAACUACGUGCCAGCAGCCGCGGUAAUACGUAGGGGGCAAGCGUUAUCCGGAUUUACUGGGUGUAAAGGGGGCGCAGACGGCGAUGCAAGCCAGGAGUGAAAGCCCGGGGCCCAACCCCGGGACUGCUCUUGGAACUGCGUGGCUAGAGUGCAGGAGGGGCAGGCGGAAUUCCUGGUGAAGCGGUGAAAUGCGUAGAUAUCAGGAGGAACACCGGUGGCGAAGGCGGCCUGCUGGACUGCAACUGACGUUGAGGCCCGAAAGCGUGGGGAGCAAACAGGAUUAGAUACCCCAGUAGUC